rnacentral:rRNA from 1 species
UACGGGGGGGGGUAAGCGUUGUUCGGAAUUACUGGGCGUAAAGGGCUCGUAGGCGGCCAACUAAGUCAGACGUGAAAUCCCUCGGCUUAACCGGGGAACUGCGUCUGAUACUGGAUGGCUUGAGUUUGGGAGAGGGAUGCGGAAUUCCAGGUGUAGCGGUGAAAUGCGUAGAGAUGUGGAGGAACACCGAUGGCGAAGGCAGCCUUCUGGGCCAACACUGACGCUCAUGCACGAAAGCGUGGGAGCAAACAGG